rnacentral:lncRNA from 1 species
GCUAUAGUGAAAUUCCAUUGAUCAUUUCAAAGUUUUUGACCCGCUUACUCAUCAAAUCAGCAGCCCAUUUUCCCUUUCAUAUUCACUUCCAGCUGACCCAACUCAUCUUUCAAAUACUUCGAGCCAACAAUCUUCCUCCAAACUUCAUCCCAAGAUUAUAUUGAUCAGCAAUACAUACAACAAUACAAUCUUAAAUCCGACCGACCCCACUCUGCUUCUUCUUCCUCCCAACGUGCUGCGAACAUCGACCCUGUUUUUACUUCAUUGCAGCGGAAAUCAUGGGCAGCAGUAGAAAAUCACGCGAAAUCAGUACUCUUCCAACUACGAUGCAAACCCAUAACCUAGCAACCUAAUCGAUCAAAUCGUUGUCCUUUUUUUUAGAAGUCUUCAAUAUCUCUUCUAUAUAAAAUUUUGAUGAACGAUUUUGCCCCCCUCCCCCAUAUCAUCUCAUCUUUCCAUAUUAAUAGCCCUGUGUCUUAAGUGAUUAGUGAGAGGGAGAAAAAAAAUGGAUUUUGAGGUCAUAUUUGAAAAAGUAGUUCACAAUAUAGUUUUUGGAGAUUGAAUUAUAGUAUAAUAGUAUUUUGUAACUAGAGUUUUUGGGUUUGUUCUUUUGAAUCUCGGAUUUCCUUGUGCGAUGGUCAAAUAGCUCAUUCAAGCUCGUUGUUCUAAUCGCUGCUCUGGGAAAGGAUGGAUUCAGUCCCCCAAGUUCUCAAAAUCAGGAUGGUCGAGGGUUUUCCAUACAAAUUGGAUACCUGGUUGGAAAAUUUUACUCCAAGUGAAAAACUAGCAAUUGCAAGAAGGUUGGGGUGUCUCCAUAUGCUAUUCAAGGUUAGCCCAGAAAAACAUGUGAUUAGAGCAUUGAUUGUGUUUUUGGGAUCUAGACCGUGUUGUGUUCACGUUCAAAGAAUUUGAACUAACACCUACAUUGGAGGAAAUCUAUUAUUUCACCAGUAUUAUCGAGGAAAAGGUCAAAUUAUUCCUUACAGUCAAUUGAUACGCUCAAACUUACUUCUCAAAUAAGAAGUAAAGCUGUCACGACCCAAAUCCGGGCCGCGACUGGCACCCACACUUACCCUCCUAUAUGAGUGAACCAACCCAAUCUAAACCUUAACACCUCAAUGUAAUAUCAACAUAAAGUAAUGCGGAAGACUUAAACACAUUAAUAAAAUCAAUAACUAUUAUUAUU